UGCUUUUCAUUAACCUAGGGGUUACAUACGAGAGAGACCGACGGCUUGCACAGCAGAGCAACUAAUUGGUGAUUCAAAUCAUUCAAUAGCAAUUUUAUGUGUAAUUUUGAAUACUCUUUUUAUCUCUAGUCAAUAUUAUGAGUAGCUAAUUUCUCAGUUGUUAGGGAUGAGUAAACCUAGAUGACUAUUCUUAUUUUAUAAUUUGAUUUAUGGCUAUUGAAGAAUUCUAUUGAUUAUUUUUCUUAUAUCUGUGCUUAAUGCUUUUAUCGAUUGAUCACCGUUAAAUUGAUUUACGAUUCAUAUUGUGAUACG
rnacentral:lncRNA from 1 species